CAAAUGCACUUAUGGCGAAAAUGAACAUGAAGGGGAAAAAGGGGAAAUUUGCAUUUGUUUCUACAAAUAUAUCCAAACUGAUCAAAGAGAGCGUCAUUCAGAGCCGCCGCGAUACCACAGAAACAAAGAUAUAUGAUGAAAUGGGACGUUUUCUAAAGUAUGCACCUGGACGUAUUGGUGGAGGUGGAAGAGGAAAGGAGUGAUGCUGCAAUUCCAGAAGACUGGGAUGAAGGAAAACUUCUUUUGGAGAAAACGUUUCUUGUGAUCUAUUUGUCCAUUUCAACUUUUUUCUACAUGUAUCUUAUAAAAAUCUUCUCGAGAACAGCAGUAACCAAUCAGUUAUGUGGACUUGUGGCUUAUGGUUCACUUUUGGACAAAUCAUGGUUUAUUUUGCUUUUAAUAAGGACAUAUUUUGCAGUGUGAGAGUUGCUUUUGUUACAGAUAUCGGUAUGUCGUUUUAUCAUGAUUAAUUCUUGAAUAAAUGUAAUUGCUAUU